CAGCAGGCGCGCAAAUUACCCCAAUCCUAACAGAAUAAGGGAGGUAGUGACAAGAAAUAACAAUACAAGGCAGUAAAAUUGUUUUGUAAAUUGGAAUGAUAGAAAAUUUAAACACUUUCUAAAGUAUCAAUUGGAGGGCGAAGUCUGGUGCCAGCAGCCGCGGUAAUUCCAGCUCCAAUAGCGUAUAUUAAAGUUGUUGCGAGUUAAAAAAGCUCGUAGUUGGAUUUUUGCUAAAAUUUAACUGGUCUGCUUUUUGUAAAAGUAGUAUCUUGGUAUGUUUUUGGCAUUUUAUGUCCUAAGGAAAUGUUUUUUGCUUGAUUGUAACAAACAAUAAUUAGGAUUUUUACUUUGAGAAAAUUAGAGUGUUUCAAGCAGGCUUACGCUUUGAAUACUGCAGCAUGGAAUAAUAAAAUAGGAUUUUGGUUCUACAUUAUUGGUUUUAAGA
rnacentral:rRNA from 1 species